AGCAGCCGCGGUAAUUCCAGCUCCAAUAGCGUAUAUUAAAGUUGUUGCAGUUAAAAAGCUCGUAGUUGAAUUUCGGGGUCAGUAGGCUGGUCGUGCCACAGGUAUGUACUGGUCUCACUGAUUCCUCCUUCCUGAUGAACCGUAAUGCCAUUAAUUUGGUGUUGCGGGGAAUCUGGACUGUUACUUUGAAAAAUUAGAGUGUUUAAAGCAGGCUAACGCUUGAAUACAUUAGCAUGGAAUAAUGAAAUAGGACGAUCGAUCCUAUUUUGUUGGUUUCUAGGAUUGACGUAAUGAUUAAUAGGGAUAGUUGGGGGCAUUAGUAUUCAAUUGUCAGAGGUGAAAUUCUUGGAUUUAUUGAAGACUAACUACUGCGAAAGCAUUUGCCAAGGAUGUUUUCAUUAAUCAAGAACGAAAGUUAGGGGAUCGAAGACGAUCAGAUACCGUCGUAGU
rnacentral:rRNA from 1 species